GAGGAUAUAGCUCAAGUGGUAGAGCCCAUGCUUAGCAUGCAUAAGGUCCUGGGUUCAAUCCCCAGUACCUCCU
rnacentral:tRNA from 1 species